CUUUACUGGCUUCAUGCAAGGAUUAUGGAAUAAUCAAAACAGCUGCUUAUUGAAUGAGAUUUUAUGAUCUCUGAACCAGAGCACGAAGAUUUCUUUUUCUAGCUGGUUCUUGGGUCAAUGGACCAUGAGAACUGACUAAUCCCAGGACGAGGGGAAGCCAUGUGAAAACCUCUAACACUCACACAUUUGUGGAGUAGUUUUUAGGGUAGAUCAAACUUUGGAUAGCUCAUUACAACUUUUUUUAGUCUGAUCACUACCACUAGACCAAGCUUGUGUGGGCAAAAAGACUUCGUUCUCAAGGGCGGACCUAGUAAAGAAGAAGGGGGUCACUUGACCCAAGUUGAAUAGUCAAAUUUUAUUUUUUGCAUAGAAUUUUGUUUAGAAUUAGCAGAACAAUUGGUAAAUUCCAAGGUGUUGACACCCCCAAAACAUGAGUUCAAAUCUCUAUAAUGACACUUUUACUCUUUUCUCCUCAAUUUAGUUUUAAAUAAAUGUUUUUUUUGUCUUAUAUAUUUCUUUACUUUUUCCAAAAUAACAGCAAUUAAUAUACUAUUUUUAUUUCCUUAUGAAAUUGAUUUUAUUUUUGUGAGUUUGUAUAAAUAUUAUAAGAAAGUUAGUUAUAAAAUACUGUUUAUAAAUUUUUUUUGACCCCGGUAAAAUUUAUUUAUGGGUCCGCUACUG